GACGAACGCUGGCGGCGUGCUUAACACAUGCAAGUCGAACGGAAAGGCCCUGCUUUUGUGGGGUGCUCGAGUGGCGAACGGGUGAGUAACACGUGAGUAACCUGCCCUUGACUUUGGGAUAACUUCAGGAAACUGGGGCUAAUACCGGAUAGGAGCUCCUGCUGCAUGGUGGGGGUUGGAAAGUUUCGGCGGUUGGGGAUGGACUCGCGGCUUAUCAGCUUGUUGGUGGGGUAGUGGCUUACCAAGGCUUUGACGGGUAGCCGGCCUGAGAGGGUGACCGGCCACAUUGGGACUGAGAUACGGCCCAGACUCCUACGGGAGGCAGCAGUGGGGAAUAUUGCACAAUGGGCGGAAGCCUGAUGCAGCAACGCCGCGUGCGGGAUGACGGCCUUCGGGUUGUAAACCGCUUUCGCCUGUGACGAAGCGUGAGUGACGGUAAUGGGUAAAGAAGCACCGGCUAACUACGUGCCAGCAGCCGCGGUGAUACGUAGGGUGCGAGCGUUGUCCGGAUUUAUUGGGCGUAAAGGGCUCGUAGGUGGUUGAUCGCGUCGGAAGUGUAAUCUUGGGGCUUAACCCUGAGCGUGCUUUCGAUACGGGUUGACUUGAGGAAGGUAGGGGAGAAUGGAAUUCCUGGUGGAGCGGUGGAAUGCGCAGAUAUCAGGAGGAACACCAGUGGCGAAGGCGGUUCUCUGGGCCUUUCCUGACGCUGAGGAGCGAAAGCGUGGGGAGCGAACAGGCUUAGAUACCCUGGUAGUCCACGCUGUAAACGGUGGGUACUAGGUGUGGGGUCCAUUCCACGGGUUCCGUGCCGUAGCUAACGCUUUAAGUACCCCGCCUGGGGAGUACGGCCGCAAGGCUAAAACUCAAAGGAAUUGACGGGGCCCCGCACAAGCGGCGGAGCAUGCGGAUUAAUUCGAUGCAACGCGUAGAACCUUGCCUGGGUUUGACAUGGAUCGGGAGUGCUCAGAGAUGGGUGUGCCUCUUUUGGGGUCGGUUCACAGGUGGUGCAUGCCUGUCGUCAGCUCGUGUCGUGAGAUGUUGGGUUAAGUCCCGCAACGAGCGCAACCCUUGUUCACUGUUGCCAGCACGUUAUGGUGGGGACUCAGUGGAGACCGCCGGGGUCAACUCGGAGGAAGGUGGGGAUGACGUCAAGUCAUCAUGCCCCUUAUGUCCAGGGCUUCACGCAUGCUACAAUGGCUGGUACAGAGAGUGGCGAGCCUGUGAGGGUGAGCGAAUCUCGGAAAGCCGGUCUCAGUUCGGAUUGGGGUCUGCAACUCGACCUCAUGAAGUCGGAGUCGCUAGUAAUCGCAGAUCAGCAACGCUGCGGUGAAUACGUUCCCGGGGCU
rnacentral:rRNA from 1 species